GAAGGUGUGCUGUGAGGCAUGCUGGAGGUAUCAGAAGUGCGAAUGCUGACAUAAGUAACGAUAAAGCGGGUGAAAAGCCCGCUCGCCGGAAGACCAAGGGUUCCUGUCCAACGUUAAUCGGGGCAGGGUGAGUCGACCCCUAAGGCGAGGCCGAAAGGCGUAGUCGAUGGGAAACAGGUUAAUAUUCCUGUACUUGGUGUUACUGCGAAGGGGGACGGAGAAGGCUAUGUCGGCCGGGCGACGGUUGUCCCGGUUUAAGCGUGUAGGCUGACUUUCCAGGCAAAUCCGGA
rnacentral:rRNA from 1 species